AAAAGUUCUUUGAAAAGUAGAUAAACAAAGUCUCUAAUGACGCACCAAUGAAGGAAAUAAGGGCGUACAGUGGAUGCCUUGGCACUAAGAGCCGAUG
rnacentral:rRNA from 2 species